rnacentral:rRNA from 1 species
AUUGAACGCUGGCGGCAUGCCUUACACAUGCAAGUCGAACGGCAGCAUGAUCUAGCUUGCUAGAUUGAUGGCGAGUGGCGAACGGGUGAGUAAUACAUCGGAACGUGCCCUGUAGUGGGGGAUAACUAGUCGAAAGAUUAGCUAAUACCGCAUACGACCUGAGGGUGAAAGUGGGGGACCGCAAGGCCUCAUGCUAUAGGAGCGGCCGAUGUCUGAUUAGCUAGUUGGUGAGGUAAAGGCUCGCCAAGGCGACGAUCAGUAGCUGGUCUGAGAGGACGAUCAGCCACACUGGGACUGAGACACGGCCCAGACUCCUACGGGGGGCAGCAGUGGGGAAUUUUGGACAAUGGGCGAAAGCCUGAUCCAGCAAUGCCGCGUGUGUGAAGAAGGCCUUCGGGUUGUAAAGCACUUUUGUCCGGAAAGAAAUGGCUCUGGUUAAUACCUGGGGUCGAUGACGGUACCGGAAGAAUAAGGACCGGCUAACUACGUG